UCCCUUGACACUCCAGAGAUGGAGCGUUCCCUUCGGGGACAAGGUGACAGGUGGUGCAUGGUUGUCGUCAGCUCGUGUCGUGAGAUGUUGGGUUAAGUCCCGCAACGAGCGCAACCCUUAUUACUAGUUGCCAGCAUUCAGUUGGGCACUCUAGUGAGACUGCCGGUGACAAACCGGAGGAAGGUGGGGAUGACGUCAAAUCAUCAUGCCCCUUAUGACCUGGGCUACACACGUGCUACAAUGGCGUAUACAACGAGUUGCCAACCCGCGAGGGUGAGCUAAUCUCUUAAAGUACGUCUCAGUUCGGAUUGUAGGCUGCAACUCGCCUACAUGAAGUCGGAAUCGCUAGUAAUCGCGGAUCAGCACGCCGCGGUGAAUACGUUCCCGGGUCUUGUACACAC
rnacentral:rRNA from 1 species